UUCCGAGUGGUGUAGCGGUAACACGUCUCCCUUUGGAGGAGGAAUCCUAGGUUCGAUCCCUAGCUCGGAAG
rnacentral:tRNA from 1 species